GUAGCUCAGCGGUAGAGCACUUGCCUUGCACGCAUGAGGGCCUGGGUUCGAUUCUUCAGC
rnacentral:tRNA from 1 species